ACUGUGCCACUAGUGAAAGGAAAUCCUGUCUAGAGUAUGUUUCUUUACAAAGCUGUGUCACACACCAUCCUUUGGGCCCUCUGCUGGAAAAGUAGAAUCAAGUCUCAAAUAAUGCCUUUUAAAUUGUAUCCUCUAGUAUUAUAGAUGUAGGACAGUACUGUAUCAUACCUCUGUGGAUGUAAAAUAGCUUGUACCUGCUUUAUGAUACGUAGUAGUGACCGUGCUUUAUCAGAGCUGUUUUUAAUGAUGUUGCUCAGAAUGUUUUCUUUCCAGAUGAUGAUUGAGAAGCUAAUUUAAAAAAAAAAUGGUGCCAGGUACCACAAGAGUAACAGAACUGUGCUGUUUUCUCGGGUUUUGUUUUUUUACUUUUUUUUUUUUUAAUGGAGUGUGCUGGAUGUCUCUACAGUUUUGUUCAGAUGACUGCAGAACCUGGAAAAGCUGUUGCUGCUGUUGAUGCAUAACACACUGCUAUUAUUGGUCUUUUUAUAUAAAUAUAAAUAUAUAUAUACAGAUAUAUAAUUUGAAUUUUUUGAAACUUUAGCUGUGCUGUCAACUUUGGAAAAAAGUAUCCCCGUUUACUGUGUUGAGUUGGCACUGUACAGAAAUUAACAGCCAUAUUGGUCUAGAAAUGUUGAACUUAAGUUUUUUCCAUUUGUACAGGGGUAACACACUGUAUUAAAUAUGUAAGGUCUUAUCUACGUGGGUUUGAUUACAAAAACUAAUAAAGUAUUCUCUAAAUUUAAA
rnacentral:lncRNA from 1 species